GAUGAACGCUGACAGAAUGCUUAACACAUGCAAGUCGAUUCGAUUUACCUUCGGGUAUUGAGGAUGGCGGACGGGUGAGUAACGCGUAAGGAACUUGCCUCUUGGACUGGGACAACUGUUGGAAACGACAGCUAAUACCGGAUAUUAUGAGAUUCUCGCAUGGGAAACUUAUGAAAGCUAUAUGCGCCAAGAGAGAGCCUUGCGUUCCAUUAGCUAGUUGGUGGGGUAAUGGCCCACCAAGGCGACGAUCCCUAGCUGGUCUGAGAGGAUGAUCAGCCACACUGGAACUGAGACACGGUCCAGACUCCUACGGGAGGCAGCAGUGGGGAAUAUUGGACAAUGGGCCACAAGCCUGAUCCCAGCAAUUCUGUGUGCACGAUGAAGGUCUUCGGAUCGUAAAGUGCUUUCAGUUGGGAAGAAGAAGUGACGGUACCAACAGAAGAAGCGACGGGC
rnacentral:rRNA from 1 species